UACGUAGGUGGCAAGCGUUAUCCGGAUUCACUGGGCGUAAAGAGCGCGUAGGUGGUCCUGUAAGCCAGAUGUUAAAUCUUCCGGCUUAACUGGAAGCUGUCAUCUGAUACUGCUGGACUUGAGGGCGGUAGAGGGAGGUGGAAUUCCCGGUGUAGUGGUGAAAUGCGUAGAUAUCGGGAGGAACACCAGUGGCGAAGGCGGCCUCCUGGGCCGUUCCUGACACUGAGGCGCGAAAGCGUGGGGAGCGAACAGG
rnacentral:rRNA from 1 species